CUUCCUUUUCUUGAUCUACGGAAAUUCCUAUAUUUGGCGUGGCUGCCUUCGUGCCUGUCACGUUGCAAUCGAGGCUGUCUCCCUGUCCAAGUAGGUCCGGCGGAUCUCCCGCACCGUCCGCCUGACCAUCGCUCUCCGCCGCCGUCUCGCCGCGCGGGCUCCUCCUGCCUGCCUUCGUGCUCCCCGCAUCUUUUGAGGCCCACGCUUGAUUUGGUUCCUCUGUUCUGUAUUUUUAUUUUUUCUAUGAUUUAUAAUGCAUGCUGUAUGCGUAUUGACUGGAGAGCUAUUGGUAGCAGGUAUUAGCAACUUUCUUUCCUUUUCUUAAUCUAGCUGUCCUUUGUUCCCAUACAUGUUCUGGUCGCACCAAAUCCAGGUUUAUGAAUGUGAAAUUGCAGGUUAUCUAACACACACUGUAUUUAUGACUUAUGUUAAGAAGUCUUGUUAGUUUAGAGAUUAGUUUGCUAUUACUCUCAAGGGUUGGAGUCCUAUGUUUGAUUGAUUCUACUUCACAUAAACUUGUCACAUUAUGUUCAGUUAAUUACUUCUUUGAUACUAUGAAAAAGAUAUAGCAUACCAUUGUAGAUGCUGCUUGUGCUUCUUUCUGCUAUAGCUGAUGCUGAUAUAAAUGCUCCUAGCUACAUACCCUUGCAUAUUUUUGCUGGCAGUUCUUGCCAUGUGCUUGUGAUGAUGUGAUUUAAGGAUCUGAUUAUGAAAGCUCUGAUUCUUAACAUUUAUAUGGUUAAGACAUAUUGCUUUCUGCAUAAAAGUAUCCAUCUUCUUUCUAAUCUAAUUUUUGACUGAAUAUUUACUGUCCCUAUACUGUUUGUUGGAUACUCCUAGAAUGAAUAUUUCAAUUAAUGUAAUGGCUAUAUGCAGAGUCUAUGGCCCUCCUAACCUUCUCUUGGAAAUGAAGCUGCUGGGCCAAGGGUGUAAUGGCUACAUGCAGAGUCCAUGUCCCUCCUGACCUUUUCUGGGAAAUGAAGCUGCUAGGCCAAAGUAUUUCCUUGCUUCACUCGAAACAUUGAUGGAACUGCCUAAUGAGAUAUAUCAGUUAUAGGAUUGUUGUACUCACCCUUUCUAUUAUAAUGUAAAUCCUGCCAGCAAGAUUGUAUUUAGUUCCUGCUCAUUUUUUUCUUCCUUUCUUUUUUUGCCCACCACUUCAUUCAUUCUUAUUUACUUCAGUUAGCAUAAUCUGUACCUCCGUGAUGCACUACGAUAUGAGUAGUGUUUUCAGAUGUGUAUAUUGUACCAAAACAAUAGCCGAUUGCAAGCUGACAGUUAUGAAACUACUCUUGUAGUGUUCAGGUUU